rnacentral:rRNA from 1 species
CCAAUAGCGUAUAUUAAAGUUGUUGCAGUUAAAAAGCUCGUAGUUGAAUUUCGGAAUCUGUCCAUCGGUCGGGCUUCACUGUCCGUACUGGUGUGGUGGGUUCUUACCUUCUGAAUAACCAGCAUGCCAUUCACUUGGUGCGCUGGGGAAGCAGGACUAUUACCUUGAAAAAAUUAGAGUGCUCAAAGCAGGCUAGUGCCUGAAUACAUUAGCAUGGAAUAAUAAAAUAGGACGGCAUGGUUCUAUUUUGUUGGUUUCUAGGAUCACCGUAAUGAUUAAUAGGGAUAGUUGGGGGCAUUAGUAUUCAAUUGUCAGAGGUGAAAUUCUUGGAUUUAUUGAAGACUAACUUCUGCGAAAGCAUUUGCCAAGGAUGUUUUCAUUAAUCAAGAACGAAAGUUAGGGGAUCGAAGACGAUCAGAUACCGCCGUAGUCUUAACCAUAAACUAUGCCGACUAGGGAUCGGACGAUGUUAAUUUUUUAAUGACUCGUUCGGCGCCUUACG